rnacentral:rRNA from 1 species
AUGCGUCUAGUGUCUCCGCUGCUCCGGUACGAGAUGGCGGGUCUCCGAGCGGAUCUAGCCAGGGGGUGGAGGUGUUGGUGUUGUGGUGGUGGCAGAUCGGUUGCGGCGGCGGCUGGUUUUUCCAGCGUCCGCCCGUUUGUAGGUGGCCUGUGUCGACCUUCGACCCCUUUCCCCGUCCGGGCGCUACCUCCGUCGAAGGGUCGGCUCGAUCCCAGUUGCGGUCCAUCGCCCGUCUCAUGUCCGGUGCUGCAGGACCGAGCUCAUCUGGCACCCAGUAGCAGGACGACCUCGUCUCGCUCUCGGUGCAGCAGAUGA